UACGUAGGGGGCGAGCGUUAUCCGGAAUUACUGGGUGUAAAGGGAGCGUAGACGGCGAGGUAAGCCUGAAGUGGAAGCACGCGGCCCAACCGCGGAACUGCUUUGGGAACUGUUUUGCUGGAGUAUGGGAGGGGUAAGCGGAAUUCCUGGUGUAGCGGUGAAAUGCGUAGAUAUUAGGAGGAACACCGGUGGCGAAGGCGGCUUACUGGGCUUAAACUGACGCUGAGGCACGAAAGUGUGGGGAGCAAACAGG
rnacentral:rRNA from 1 species